UCAUAUGAGGGGAAGGUGCUGCUUCAGCUUCGCUGCAGCCGCCAGUCUCCGCUCCACUGUCUGUUGAGCAAAUGUUUUCAGUCAUUUUUAGCCACUUCAGGACGAUCUCACUCCUAUUUUUCUAGUCAUACUGGAAUAUUUGAGAUGUCCAGGGCUUUGUGUUUGACCACUAUCAUUCCAACAAAGGAUUGCAAGAACUUUUGACCUUCACCUUGAAUCCUCCGGCCCGGCAUCCUGCGCUGUGACUGUGGCGAAUGCGGAUUGAGGCAUCCCACCAAGGUGUGUGCUUGUGCCAGGCAGGCUUCAGCGGAGGAUCCGGAGAACAAUGGCUCUCUGUUGGAGGACACACCUGAGUCAGAGAGGGGAGGUGCUUGCAGCCGGCCUGGUCCAGUCUUCUUCAUGGGUCCCCGACCAUGCAUGAGUUUGGUGCUGUUUCUAUUUAUUUAGG